rnacentral:lncRNA from 1 species
UCCCUACAAGUCGGCACUCCGGAGAUAGCCAUCGCGACAUAUGCUCGUUCGUGCAGGAUUGGGCGCCGAAAUGGGAUGCCGUGGGGGAGGUUCAUUCCUAAAGUGGGGAUGUUGACUACCACGGGGCCAUUAGGCACGGCGCAGGCCAGACAGCCUACGGGUGGGUUUUACAUGAUUGGAACUUGGUGACACAACAUGCCAUUUGGACUUUGACUAGAAUAGUAAACAAUGACAUUUUACUAUCUACACUGUGGACAUUUCGUUGGUUGCAUACUCAUGUUUAUACAUGCUAGUCACAUUCAUGUACAUUCAUGUUAAAAUAGCUUUAUUAAUUACGCAAGUUCAUGCUGAGUUGAGACAUCAUGGUUUAGUAAGUACUUAUGUUUAGUUGUUAUUAUUCCUUUUGAUUAUACUCGUACUU